GCGAACAAUUAUACAUAAAGAAAGCGAGAAAACAGUGAAACGUCAUGGCAGAAAAUAAUUCUCGGUGGAAACGUACAAACUUGACGAUAAUUUACCUUAUCAUCAUUUAUUGUUUAAUUCGCUUAUUCUUCUCUUUCCUUUCUAUCGUUUACCUCGUAGAACGUUAUCAUUCAGGGAAUCUUACAGUAUAUUCCGUAUUUCUAAUAUUGAUGAAGGAAGAAAUAGUGUCGAACUUUUCCGUGGAGACAGAAAUAGUUCGAGUCGACGAGAGUCCAUAGAAUUAACAGAAAUGGAAGGUUCACUAAAUGGUUCUUUUAAACGUUCGAAGCGAUAGAUAAAAAUUAAAAGUAAUGACGAUCAAGACAAGUUUGAAAAUUAAGAAAUGAUGAUCUACGCCUAUCAAUGGAUUUAUCUUAAUUGUCUUCUAUUUAAAGUACUGGUUCUAGUGACUUUUUGGGUGACUGAUCUUCUAGUGACUGAUGUUUUUAAGAAUUUUAAAAUAAAGUUUUUAAAUGUAUUUCGUUAUAAAAUAACUUCCUUUUUCUUUGUGGUUUUCUUUGUGUGGAGUAAUAAAUAUGUUGUACUAUAAAUAUUUUAAUAAAGGAGAAAAAGCACGAUCGAGAUGAACUAAAUAUUACUUUCUAUUCCAGCAUAUUUUAUUAAUACAUUACUUUUGAUAAGAGUAAUUCAAUAACACUGAAUUAUGCAUUAUAAAAACA